GGAGGCUUGGCCGAGCGGUCGAAGGCACACGCCUGGAAAGCGUGUAGGGGGGCAACUCCCUCGAUGGUUCGAACCCCUCAGCCUCCGCCA
rnacentral:tRNA from 1 species